UUUCUUUAACCAGGUCCCACUGAAAUCCAAUAUCUCUUUUACAAGGGACACCUGGGUCUCAUCGUAAAAGGUGAAAAGCGUAACUACCAUGUUCUGAACACAUGAAUCAGCCAAAUUACCAGAGAAUCUAAGUUCUGACUGAAACCAGA